AUUCCUACGGGAGGCAGCAGUAGGGAAUUUUCCACAAUGGACGAAAGUCUGAUGGAGCAACGCCGCGUGCAGGAUGAAGGCCUUAGGGUUGUAAACUGCUUUUAUCUGUGAAGAAUAUGACGGUAGCAGAUGAAUAAGGACCGGCUAACUCCGUGCCAGCAGCCGCGGUCAUACGGAGGGUCCAAGCGUUAUCCGGAAUUACUGGGCGUAAAGAGUUGCGUAGGUGGCAUUGUAAGUAGGUAGUGAAAUCGUGUGGCUCAACCAUGCUCACAUUAUCUAAACUGCAAAGCUAGAGGGCGAGAGAGGUUACUAGAAUUCCCUGUGUAGGAGUGAAAUCCGUAGAUAUAGGGAGGAAUACCGAUGGCGUAGGCAGGUAACUGGCUCGUCCCUGACACUAAGGCACGAAAGCGUGGGUAGCAAACGGGAUUAGAUACCCCGGUAGUCCACGCCGUAAACGAUGGAUGCUAGCUGUUACUCGUAUCGACUCGAGUAGUAGCGAAGCUAACGCGUUAAGCAUCCCGCCUGUGGAGUACGGUCGCAAGACUAAAACAUAAAGGAAUUGACGGGGACCCGCACAAGCGGUGGAGCGUGCUCUUUAAUUCGAUGGUAAGCGAAGAACCUUACCAGGGUUUGACAUCCCAAGAAGGCUUCCGAAAGGAAACUGUGCCUCCGGGAACUUGGUGACAGGUGUUGCAUGGCCGUCGUCAGCUCGUGUCGUGAGAUGUUUGGUUAAGUCCAUCAACGAGCGCAACCCUUAUACUUAGUUGGAUUUUUCUAGGUAGACUGCCCCGGUAACGGGGAGGAAGGAGGGGAUGAUGUCAGGUCAGUAUUACCCUUACACCCUGGGCUAGAAGCACGCUACAAUGGCCAGUACAAAGGGCUGCCAAGGCGCGAGCCGGAGCAAAUCCCAUCAAAGCUGGUCCCAGUUCGGAUAGCAGGCUGAAACUCGCCUGCUUGAAGUCGGAAUCGCUAGUGAC
rnacentral:rRNA from 1 species